rnacentral:rRNA from 1 species
UGGAGAGGACAGAAGGCGAAGGAGGUGGAGGAUACCGGCUUCAAGCUGUGGUACACGGGGACGGCUGCAAACAGAAAUGGCGUAGGCAUCUUGAUCAACAAGAGCCUCAAGUAUGGAGUGGUAGACGUCAAGAGACGUGGGGACCGGAUUAUCCUGGUCAAGCUGGUAGUUGAGGACUUGGUUCUCAAUGUUAUCAGCGCGUAUGCCCCGCAAGUAGGCCACAAUGAGAACACCAAGAGGGAGUUCUGGGAAGGCUUGGAAGACAUGGUUAGGAGUGUACCGAUUGGUGAGAAGCUCUUCAUAGGAGGAGACCUCAAUGGCCACGUGGGUACAUCUAACACAGGUUUUGAAGGGGCGCAUGGGGGCUUUGGCUAUGGCAUCAGGAAUCAAGAAGGAGAAGAUGUCUUAAGCUUUACUCUAGCCUACAACAUGAUUGUAGCUAACACCCUCUUUAGAAAGAGAGAAUCACAUCUGGUGACUUUU